rnacentral:rRNA from 1 species
UACGAAGGGGGCUAGCGUUGCUCGGAAUCACUGGGCGUAAAGCGCACGUAGGCGGCUUUUUAAGUCAGGGGUGAAAUCCUGGAGCUCAACUCCAGAACUGCCUUUGAUACUGAGAAGCUCGAGUCCGGGAGAGGUGAGUGGAACUGCGAGUGUAGAGGUGAAAUUCGUAGAUAUUCGCAAGAACACCAGUGGCGAAGGCGGCUCACUGGCCCGGUACUGACGCUGAGGUGCGAAAG